rnacentral:rRNA from 1 species
GACGAACGCUGGCGGCGUGCCUAAUACAUGCAAGUCGAACGCUUCUUUCCUCCCGAGUGCUUGCCCUCAAUUGGAAAGAGGAGUGGCGGACGGGUGAGUAACACGUGGGUAACCUACCCAUCAGAGGGGGAUAACACUUGGAAACAGGUGCUAAUACCGCAUAACAGUUUAUGCCGCAUGGCAUAAGAGUGAAAGGCGCUUUCGGGUGUCGCUGAUGGAUGGACCCGCGGUGCAUUAGCUAGUUGGUGAGGUAACGGCUCACCAAGGCCACGAUGCAUAGCCGACCUGAGAGGGUGAUCGGCCACACUGGGACUGAGACACGGCCCAGACUCCUACGGGAGGCAGCAGUAGGGAAUCUUCGGCAAUGGACGAAAGUCUGACCGAGCAACGCCGCGUGAGUGAAGAAGGUUUUCGGAUCGUAAAACUCUGUUGUUAGAGAAGAACAAGGACGUUAGUAACUGAACGUCCCCUGACGGUAUCUAACCAGAAAGACACGGCUAACUACGUG